AGCGGCGGACGGGUGAGUAACACGUGGAUAACCUACCUAUAAGACUGGGAUAACUUCGGAAAACCGGAGCUAAUACCAGAUAACAUGUUGAACCGCAUGGUUCAACAGUGAAAGACGGUCUUGCUGUCACUUAUAGAUGGAUCCGCGCCGCAUUAGCUAGUUGGUAGGGUAACGGCUUACCAAGGCAACGAUGCGUAGCCGACCUGAGAGGGUGAUCGGCCACACUGGAACUGAGACACGGUCCAGACUCCUACGGGAGGCAGCAGUAGGGAAUCUUCCGCAAUGGGCGAAAGCCUGACGGAGCAACGCCGCGUGAGUGAUGAAGGUCUUCGGAUCGUAAAACUCUGUUAUUAGGGAAGAACAAAUGUGUAAGUAACUAUGCACGUCUUGACGGCACCUAAUCAGAAAGCCACGGCUAACUACGUGCCAGCAGCCGCGGUAAUACGUAGGUGGCAAGCGUUAUCCGGAAUUAUUGGGCGUAAAGCGCGCGUAGGCGGUUUUUUAAGUCUGAUGUGAAAGCCCACGGCUCAACCGUGGAGGGUCAUUGGAAACUGGAAAACUUGAGUGCAGAAGAGGAAAGUGGAAUUCCAUGUGUAGCGGUGAAAUGCGCAGAGAUAUGGAGGAACACCAGUGGCGAAGGCGACUUUCUGGUCUGUAACUGA
rnacentral:rRNA from 1 species